rnacentral:rRNA from 1 species
AACGAACGCUGGCGGCAUGCCUAACACAUGCAAGUCUAACGAGACCUUCGGGUCUAGUGGCGCACGGGUGCGUAACGCGUGGGAACCUUCCCUUAGGUUCGGAAUAACUCCCCGAAAGGGGUGCUAAUACCGUUUAAUGUCUUCGGACCAAAGAUUUAUCGCCUUUGGAUGGGCACGCGUUGGAUUAGCUAGUUGGUAUGGUAAAAGCCUACCAAGGCGACGAUCCAUAGCUGGUCUGAGAGGAUGAUCAGCAACACUGGGAAUGAGACACGGCCCAGACUCAUACGGGAGGCAGAAGUGGAGAAUAUUGGACAAUGGGCGAAAGCCUGAUCCAGCAAUGCCGCGUGAGUGAUGAAGGCCUUAGGGUUGUAAAGCUCUUUUACACGGGAUGAUAAUGACAGUACCGGGAGAAUAAGCGCCGGCUAACUCCGUG